rfam:Gossypium raimondii Chr06_contig_397, whole genome shotgun sequence.
AUUCCGUGAUGAGGGCACUUAGGUAAUAAUUCUUUGUACCUUUCCCAUGCCUCAUAUAAGGACUCAUCAUCCAUUUGUUGGAAAGCAGUGAUAUCGUUCCUCAACUU